UGUGAGGGGCUGUAAGCUAGAGGGAGAAUAUGGACACAGAGAGCUCUCAGUUUAUGUAAUAAACAACUACCACGUUGCUGGAACUAUGCCUUAGAAGACAAAAAAUUUAAUUUUUGACUUUUUUUUGUGGCUGAAAUCAUAUUUAAAAAAAACACUGGAAAUGAUUUAAACACCAGAUCAAAAGAUAAUGGUAGUGUGACUAGCUAAAAAUACUAAAACAAAAAAAGGAAACGUCCAAUUCCAGGGAUGUGGGGAAAAAUCGAUUUGGCGAUAUAUCGUGAUAUUUUGUUCGGCAAUACUUGAUUAGAUUUAAAAUGCUGACAAGACGAUAUUUAGUUAUUUGUUUAUUAGCGCCCUUCGCCGACUUACUUCUGUUUUCCACUUCAACUCCCGACCACUAGUGGGCAGCACAGCACACUGAGCCUCUUUGAGCUGCUCUACACUGUAACCAAAACGGCAUAAGACGUUUUAAUAUUCAUGUAGAAUUUUCUUUUAUAAGUCAUAAGGUGAAAAAUAGUUCUGAUACAGUCUUGGGAUCGUGAUAUCGUGAUACGUAUCGUAUCGUGAGACAUGUAUCGGGAUACGUAUCGCCAAUCCACACCCCUAUUUAAGCCAGUCAAGAUUUUUGGAACAAUGUGGCAACAAACUUGAAAAUUUGUAUUAAAUUUAAAGUCAGACAAAACCUAACAUUUUUAUCUUUGUAAAAUAUGUUUUUUUUGCUAAAAGUUGCUCUUCUUUUGAUUUUUGUGUUUCGGCAGCUGUCACCACUGACCUGCUUGACAGAGCUCACUUACAGGUUAUUAAUAACUCCACAAUCUGCCCCUCUCUGUAGGUCAACAAGCUGAAGGUCGGCGCUUCUGCCCUCUGCCUGCCAAAGUCUGCAUCUCCCUCCGACUUUUAACAAGGGACCGGCCGUUUCAAUCCUCUACACAACACUCGCUUUGCUCUAUAUUUAUGUGUGUGGAGAGGAAAGUGAAGUGAUGGAAACUGUUAGGAGACCAUAAUGCAUCAUUUACAGCGGGCCCAGAAAAGGUCAAACCUGCUUCCCAUAGAGCUGGUGGUCUGAUGUCAUGGAGGCAGAAAGCAAAUCCACUUACAUCAUGAAGAAUAGCAAGCCCGUGUCCGGCGGUGUGAGGCGGCUGCUGCUGGUGCUGAUGCUGCAGCUGCUGAGCCAGAAGAUGCUUCUGUUUGGCCGACUGGAGACACAUGGUGAUCAUCUCUGUGCAAGCCAGCAUCUUUGUCGGCGGGCAAAAGCUCCAAAGGGCAGGAGAAUCGCAGUGCUGGAGGUGAUGCUGCCGCAGGAGGAGAGAGCUGCCAAGUACAGAGGGAUGCAGGCAGGAGGGUCGGCGGAGACUCGCGGAUGCUCUGCAACUUUGUGCGGAGCUGCUGAACAAAGUCUGCAGCUCCUCCUGCUGGAGCUCCUCUGAUUGGUCCGUUUUUCUGCAGCGUCUGCCUACACCAGGAGGGGAGAGCAUCUUUUCUUUUUUCUUUUGAAGUUUACUUUCAAACCCCAUUUUAUUUAUUUAUUUUUGAAGCAUCAAGUCCUAUUUUGCCCUUCAAAAUAAAAUAUUUGGGUCAA